UACGCAGGCGGCUUGGUAAGACAGAUGUGAAAUCCCCGGGCCUAACCUGGGAACUGCAUUUGUGACUGCCAGGCUCGAGUCUGUCAGAGGGGGGUGGAAUUCCACGUGUAGCAGUGAAAUGCGUAGAGAUGUGGAGGAACACCGAUGGCGAAGGCAGCCCCCUGGGAUGAGACUGACGCUCAUGUACGAAAGCGUGGGGAGCAAACAGGAUUAGAUACCCUGGUAGUCCACGCCCUAAACGAUGUCGACUAGUUGUCGGGGAUUCAUUUUCUCGGUAACGCAGCUAACGCGUGAAGUCGACCGCCUGGGGAGUACGGUCGCAAGAUUAAA
rnacentral:rRNA from 1 species